rnacentral:rRNA from 1 species
ACGGCUGAGUAACGCGUGGGUGACCUGCCCACUGGUGGGGAAUAACUGCCCGAAAGGGUGGCUAAUACCGCAUACGUCUCCGGGAGCGUACCCGGAGGCAAAGCCGCAAGGCGCCGGUGGAGGGGCCCGCGUCCGAUUAGCUAGUUGGUGGGGUAAUGGCCUACCAAGGCGACGAUCGGUAGCUGGUCUCAGCGGAUGAUCAGCCAGACUGGGACUGAGAGACGGCCCAG